UGAGGAAUAUUGGUCAAUGGGCGGAAGCCUGAACCAGCCAAGUCGCGUGAGGGAAUAAGGCCCUACGGGUCGUAAACCUCUUUUGUCAGGGAGCAAAGCUUGGUACGUGUACCGAGAAGGAGAGUACCUGAAGAAAAAUGCAUCGGCUAACUCCGUGCCAGCAGCCGCGGUAAUACGGAGGAUGCGAGCGUUAUCCGGAUUUAUUGGGUUUAAAGGGUGCGUAGGCGGGCUUUUAAAGUCAGCGGUCAAAUUGAGGGGCUCAACCCCUUCCCGCCGUUGAAACUGGGAGUCUUGAGUGAGCGAGAAGUAAGCGGAAUGCGUGGUGUAGCGGUGAAAUGCAUAGAUAUCACGCAGAACCCCGAUUGCGAAGGCAGCUUACCGGCGCUCAACUGACGCUGAGGCACGAAAGUGUGGGGUAUCGAACAGGAUUAGAUACC
rnacentral:rRNA from 1 species